CAGCAGUCGCCGCGGGAAAACAGAGGGUGCAAGCGUUAAUCGGAUUUACUGGGCGUAAAGGGCGCGUAGGUGGUUAUUUAAGUGAGAUGUGAAAGCCCCGGGCUUAACCUGGGAACUGCAUCUUAUACUGGGUAACUGGAGUGCAGUAGAGGGUAGUGGAAUUUCCGGUGUAGCGGUGAAAUGCGUAGAUAUCGGAAGGAACACCAGUGGCGAAGGCGGCUACCUGGACUGAGACUGACACUGAGGCGCGAGAGCGUGGGGAGCAAACAGGAUUAGAUACCCCCGUAGUCCCUGUCUCUUAUAC
rnacentral:rRNA from 1 species